rfam:Steinernema glaseri strain NC unplaced genomic scaffold GLAS_6081, whole genome shotgun sequence.
ACCGGGAUGGCCGAGUGGUUAAGGCGUUGGACUUAAGUUCCAAUCGGAGGAAUCCGUCGUGGGUUCAAACCCCACUCCCGGUA